rnacentral:rRNA from 1 species
CUACGGGGCGCAGCAGUGGGGAAUAUUGGACAAUGGGGGAAACCCUGAUCCAGCAAUGCCGCGUGUGUGAAGAAGGCCUGCGGGUUGUAAAGCACUUUCGGUUGGGAGGACUGCUUCUAGCACUAAUAUUGUUGGAAGUUGACGUUACCUUCAGAAGAAGCACCGGCUAACUCCGUGCCAGCAGCCGCGGUAAUACGGAGGGUACAAGCGUUAAUCGGAAUUACUGGGCGUAAAGUGCGCGUAGGCGGCUAGAUCAGUCGGGUGUGAAAGCCCCGGGCUUAACCUGGGAACUGCAUCCGAUACUGGCUAGCUUGAGUACAGGAGAGGAGAGUGGAAUUCCACAUGUAGCGGUGAAAUGCGUAGAUAUGUGGAGGAACACCAAUGGCGAAGGCAGCUCUCUGGCCUGAUACUGACGCUGAGGUGCGAAAGCGUGGGGAGCAAACAGGAUUAGAUACCCGUGUAGUC